UCCGAGUUGACCCCGGCAGUCUCCUGCGAGUCCCCGCCAUUACGCGCUGGCAACACAGGACAAGGGUUGCGCUCGUUACGGGACUUAACCCAACAUCUCACGACACGAGCUGACGACAGCCAUGCAGCAUCUGUGCACGCUCCCUUGCGGGUCCUCGGCCUUUCAGCCUCGUACCACGUGCAUGUCAAGCCCAGGUAAGG
rnacentral:misc_RNA from 1 species